AGCUAAUAGAUACCCCGGUAGUCCACGCCCUAAACGAUGUCUACUAGUUGUUGGUGGAGUAAAAUCCAUGAGUAAACGCAGCUAAACGCGUGAAGUAGACCGCCUGGGGAGUACGGUCGCAAGAUUAAAAACUCAAAGGAAUUGACGGGGGCCCGCACAAGCGGUGGAUUAUGUGGAUUAAAUUCGAUGCAACGCGAAAAACCUUACCUGGCCUUGACAUGCCACUAACGAAGCAGAGAUGCAUUAGGUGCCCGUAAGGGAAAGUGGACACAGGUGCUGCAUGGCUGUCGUCAGCUCGUGUCGUGAGAUGUUGGGUUAAGUCCCGCAACGAGCGCAACCCUUGCCAUUAAUUGCCAUCAUUUAGUUGGGCACUUUAAUGGGACUGCCGGUGACAAACCGGAGGAAGGUGGGGAUGACGUCAAGUCCUCAUGGCCCUUAUGGCCAGGGCUUCACACGUAAUACAAUGGUCGGUACAGAGAGUUGCCAACCCGCGAGGGGUAGCUAAUCUCAGAAAGCCGAUCGUAGUCCGGAUUGUUCU
rnacentral:rRNA from 1 species